UGGCUCUCCCAUCGAUGAAGAACGCAGCGAAAUGCGAUAAGUAAUGUGAAUUGCAGAAUUCAGUGAAUCAUCGAAUCUUUGAACGCACCUUGCGCCCUUUGGUAUUCCGAAGGGCAUGCCUGUUUGAGUGUCAUUAAAUUCUCAACCUUUGCGGAUUUUACUAUUCGUUUUCAAAGGCUUGGAUAUGAGGGUUAUUGCUGGCUUCCUUAAGUGUGAUCGGUCAGCUCCCUUUAAAUGCAUUAGUGGAAUCCUUUGUGGAUCGUCACUGAGUGUGAUAAUUAUUUGCGCUCCUUGACUCUGAAGCAAUACUCUAUGGAAUCUGCUUAUAACCGUCUUCAUUGCGAAAGACUGCGUUGUUAACAACAACACUAUUGACAAUUUGACCUCAAAUCAGGUAGGACUACCCGCUGA
rnacentral:misc_RNA from 1 species